rnacentral:rRNA from 1 species
UACGUAGGGUGCGAGCGUUGUCCGGAAUUAUUGGGCGUAAAGAGCUUGUAGGUGGUUUGUCGCGUCUGCUGUGAAAAUCCGAGGCUCAACCUCGGACUUGCAGUGGGUACGGGCAGACUUGAGUACUGCAGGGGAGACUGGAAUUCCUGGUGUAGCGGUGAAAUGCGCAGAUAUCAGGAGGAACACCGGUGGCGAAGGCGGGUCUCUGGGCAGUAACUGACGCUGGGAACGGAA